rnacentral:rRNA from 1 species
AGAGUUUGAUCAUGGCUCAGGAUGAACGCUGGCGGCGUGCCUAACACAUGCAAGUCGAACGAAGCACCUUACCGGAUUCUUCGGAUGAAAGUUUGGUGACUGAGUGGCGGACGGGUGAGUAACGCGUGGGUAACCUGCCCUGUACAGGGGGAUAACAGCUGGAAACGGCUGCUAAUACCGCAUAAGCGCACGAGGAGACAUCUCCUAGUGUGAAAAACUCCGGUGGUACAGGAUGGGCCCGCGUCUGAUUAGCUGGUUGGCAGGGUAACGGCCUACCAAGGCAACGAUCAGUAGCCGGUCUGAGAGGAUGAACGGCCACAUUGGAACUGAGACACGGCCCAGACUCCUACGGGAGGCAGCAGUGGGGAAUAUUGCACAAUGGGGGAAACCCUGAUGCAGCGACGCCGCGUGGAGGAAGAAGGUCUUCGGAUUGUAAACUCCUGUUGUUGAGGAAGAUAAUGACGAUACUCAACAAGGAAGUGACGGCUAACUACGUGCCAGCAGCCGCGGUAAAACGUAGGUCACAAGCGUUGUCCGGAAUUACUGGGUGUAAAGGGAGCGCAGGCGGGAGAACAAGUUGGAAGUGGAAUCCAUGGGCUUAACCCAUGAACUGCUUUCAAAACUGUUUUUCUUGAGUAGUGCAGAGGUAGGCGGAAUUCCCGGUGUAGCGGUGGAAUGCGUAGAUAUCGGGAGGAACACCAGUGGCGAAGGCGGCCUACUGGGCACCAACUGACGCUGAGGCUCGAAAGUGUGGGUAGCAAACAGGAUUAGAUACCCUGGUAGUCCACACCGUAAACGAUGAUUACUAGGUGUUGGAGGAUUGACCCCUUCAGUGCCGCAGUUAACACAAUAAGUAAUCCACCUGGGGAGUACGACCGCAAGGUUGAAACUCAAAGGAAUUGACGGGGGCCCGCACAAGCAGUGGAGUAUGUGGUUUAAUUCGACGCAACGCGAAGAACCUUACCAAGUCUUGACAUCCCUUGACGAUGCUGGAAACAGUAUUUCUCUUCGGAGCAAGGAGACAGGUGGUGCAUGGUUGUCGUCAGCUCGUGUCGUGGGAUGUUGGGUUAAGUCCCGCAACGAGCGCAACCCUUAUGGUCAGUUACUACGCAAGAGGGCUCUGGCCAGACUGCCGUUGACAAAACGGAGGAAGGUGGGGAUGACGUCAAAUCAUCAUGCCCUUUAUGACUUGGGCUACACACGUACUACAAUGGCGUUAAACAAAGAGAAGCAAGACCGCGAGGUGGAGCAAAACUCAGAAACAACGUCCCAGUUCGGACUGCAGGCUGCAACUCGCCUGCACGAAGUCGGAAUUGCUAGUAAUCGUGGAUCAGCAUGCCACGGUGAAUACGUUCCCGGGCCUUGUACACACCGCCCGUCACACCAUGAGAGCCGGGGGGACCCGAAGUCGGUAGUCUAACCGCAAGGAGGACGCCGCCGAAGGUAAAACUGGUGAUUGGGGUGAAGUCGUAACAAGGU